rnacentral:rRNA from 1 species
GAACUUAAGCAUAUCAAUAAGCGGAGGAAAAGAAACCAACAGGGAUUACCUCAGUAACGGCGAGUGAAGCGGUAACAGCUCAAAUUUGAAAUCUGGCUCUUUCAGGGUCCGAGUUGUAAUUUGUAGAAGAUGCUUUGGGCAUUGCUCCGGUCUAAGUUCCUUGGAACAGGACGUCAUAGAGGGUGAGAAUCCCGUAUGUGACUGGUGGCAUUUAUCCGUGUAAAGCUCUUUCGACGAGUCGAGUUGUUUGGGAAUGCAGCUCAAAAUGGGUGGUAUAUUUCAUCUAAAGCUAAAUAUUGGCCAGAGACCGAUAGCGCACAAGUAGAGUGAUCGAAAGAUGAAAAGCACUUUGGAAAGAGAGUUAAACAGUACGUGAAAUUGUUGAAAGGGAAGCGCUUGCAACCAGACUUGCAGGUCGUUGAUCAUCCGGGGUUCUCCCCGGUGCACUCGGCGGCUUUCAGGUCAGCAUCGGUUUGAGUGGUGGGAUAAAGGCCUUGGGAAUGUGGCUCCUCUCGGGGAGUGUUAUAGCCCAAGGUGCAAUGCCGCCUAUUCGGACCGAGGACCGCGCUUCGGCUAGGAUGCUGGCGUAAUGGUUGUAAGCGACCCGUCUUGAAACACGGACCAAGGAGUCUAACAUCUAUGCGAGUGUUUGGGUGUCAAACCCAUACGCGUAAUUAACGUGAACGGAGGUAAGAACCCUUAAGGGUGCAUUAUCGACCGAUCCUGAUGUCUUCGGAUGGAUUUGAGUAAGAGCAUAGCUGUUGGGACCCGAAA